UACGUAGGGUGCGAGCGUUAAUCGGAUUUACUGGGCGUAAAGCGAGCGCAGGUGGUUUAUUAAGUCUGGUGUAAAAGGCAGUGGCUCAACCAUUGUAUGCAUUGGAAACUGGUAGACUUGAGUGCAGGAGAGGAGAGUGGAAUUCCAUGUGUAGCGGUGAAAUGCGUAGAUAUAUGGAGGAACACCGGUGGCGAAAGCGGCUCUCUGGACUGUAACUGACACUGAGGCUCGAAAGCGUGGGUAGCAAACAGG
rnacentral:rRNA from 1 species